GAUACGAGUACAGUGGCGGACGGGUGAGUAAUACAUAGGAAUCUACCCAAUGGAGGGGGAUAGCUCGAGGAAACUCGAAUUAAUACCGCAUAAUCUCCACGGAGUAAAGAGGGCUUCGGCUCUCGCCAUCGGAUGAGCCUAUGCAGGAUUAGCUUGUUGGUGAGGUAAAGGCUUACCAAGGCGACGAUCCUUAGCUGGUUUGAGAGGAUGACCAGCCACAUCGGGACUGAGACACGGCCCGGACUUCUACGGAAGGCAGCAGUAGGGAAUAUUGGACAAUGAGCGAAAGCUUGAUCCAGCCAUGCCGCGUGUGCGAUGACGGCCCUCGGGUUGUAAAGCACUUUAGGUAACGAGGAAAAGUUAGGUGUUAAUACCAUCUAACCUUGACGUUAAUUACAGAAUAAGCACCGGCUAAAUCCGUGCCAGCAGCCGCGGUAAUACGGAUGGUGCAAGCGUUAAUCGGAAUUACUGGGCGUAAAGCGCGCGUAGGUGGCAUAUUAAGUUAGAUGUGAAAUCCCGAGGCUUAACCUCGGAACUGUAUCUAAAACUAAUAAGCUAGAGUACUAGAGAGGAAAGUAGAAUUCUUAGUGUAGCGGUGGAAUGCGUAGAUAUUAAGAGGAAUACCAAUGGCGAAGGCAACUUUCUGGAUA
rnacentral:rRNA from 1 species